AACGAACGCUGGCGGCGCGUCUUAAGCAUGCAAGUCGAACGGCAAGAUUGGUGCUUGCACCGAUCCUAGAGUGGCGGACUGGUGAGUAACGCGUGGGGGACGUACCCUAAGGAAGGGGAUAGCUGGUAGAAAUAUCAGAUAAUACCGAAUAUCCUUAUUGUUGUUAGAGGACAGUAAGGAAAGGAGCUUUGGCUUCGCACAAGGAUCGGCCCGCGUACUAUUAGCUAGUUGGUGAGGUAACGGCUCACCAAGGCUACGAUAGUUAUCCGGCCUAAGAGGGUGAACGGACACAUUUGGACUGAGAUACGGCCCAGACUCCUACGGGAGGCAGCAGCUAAGAAUAUUCCGCAAUGGAGGAAACUCUGACGGAGCGACGCCGCGUGGAUGAUGAAGGCCGGAAGGUUGUAAAAUCCUUUUAAGCAAGAAGAAUAAACUUUACAGGGAAUGGUAGAGUGGUGACGGUAUUGCUUGAAUAAGCAACGGCUAAUUACGUGCCAGCAGCCGCUGUAAAAC
rnacentral:rRNA from 1 species